CUCAACGAGCAAUAUAGUGAAGACUUUUGCAAAAUACUUCAGAAGAAAAGCAGAAAAAUCUCUAUAACCACAGUGCCCAACACCGUAUGCCAGUUUCCACAGGAGAAAUCUGGAAGUGGUUGAGAACUGACUUCCAAGGAACAGGAACAGUGUGGGAAAGUCCUUUCCUCCUCCAUCAACAGACUUUCAUUAGAUAGGUCAUUAAUUUUUAGUAUCUGAAUUAGCUUUAACUACAAGAAUUUGGAAUUA
rnacentral:lncRNA from 1 species